rnacentral:rRNA from 1 species
UACGAAGGGGGCUAGCGUUGUUCGGAAUUACUGGGCGUAAAGCGCGCGUAGGCGGCCCCGCAAGUCGGCCGUGAAAUCUCCGGGCUCAACUCGGAGGGGUCGGGCGAGACUGCGGGGCUCGAGGUGGGCAGAGGGCAGUGGAAUUCCGGGUGUAGUGGUGGAAUGCGUAGAGAUCCGGAGGAACACCAGUGGCGAAGGCGGCUGCCUGGGCCUGGCCUGACGCUGAGGCGCGAAAGCGUGGGGAGCGAUCCGG